GGAUGAAGAGACUUUAACAGUCAGCAAAAUUUCCCUUCUCUCUGGGGAUUGAGGAUUCUGUAACACUCUUUUACUCCUUUUUUCCCCGCUCAGGGUGCCCCUUCUGCUUCUGACAGUCUUUGCAAUAAGGAACAAAAAAGCAGCAGCGACUGGUCUCCACAGCACCAUUUAUAACUCUUGUACAACCUGCAUUGUCUGACAUCUGAACAAAAAUAAGAUCUACAGCUUCAGAAUGUGGAGAAGGGUGCAGUUUCCCUGGCAUGAAAUAUCUGAUCAAUUUUCACGGAGACAAGAGAAACAAAGGUUUUUUACAGAUGCAAUAACCAUAUCUCUGCAAUAGUAUUUUUAAUAACCAAAGGCAGAAGAGUUGUGACUUUGCAUGUAAUGGCAACGUUUGCGAAAGUAAGCCGGUACGGCAUACCGGCGCACCAUACUGAGGUGGAUUGGCUUCCCCGGCAGCAAUUUAAAGGGCCUGGGGCUCCCAGCUGCUGCUACCACAGCCCCACCUCUUCCAGUAGAGGCCACGCCUCUUCCGGUUGUGUCCCCGCCCCUUCCUAAGGACGCUGGAGUAGUGGUAAUUCUCACAUUACAGGGCAAGCUGAUGUUUCUGCUGUAUGGCAUUUGGGACAUUUAAACAUAGCUAUUCUGGCGUAUAAUUUAGGACAAAUCAAUCCGUGUUCCACACGCAGUUGUUAUGGGGCUUAUUUUGUUACAGGUGGAUGCUUUAUACAUAUUGGAUGUGACCUGGUUCUAUUCUUCAGCAGUAAUUUCA